CGCGUAUUGAAGUUAGGAUUGUUCGCUUGUGGAGAAACUAUAACAAAGAAUCAGGAAACACCAUUGAAAUGGUUUUUGUUGAUAAAGAAGGGACAAGAAUUCAUGCUUCAGUUGGUGAACAACUCAU